ACAAAGGUACGAGUGCGCCUGUCAGGACAGGUUUAUUCUGAACAAACCUGAGAGGGACCGCAUGGCACUUAGAGCAGACCAGCGACUCUUGUACAGGCUGUAAGGUCUUUCCUAGGGCCGUGACCAUAAAAGGAAAGGUCGUAUUGGAACUUGCUGGAGGCGGGGUGCUGGGGGAGAAGUUCUUUUGGAAGGGAGCUGCGGCUCCCCGCCAGCCACCGAGCCUGAGAAAGUGCAGGGAGCUGCGCUUGCCUGUCAGGAGCAGGGCUGGAGUUACGGGUGUGUGGUCACCGGCCUUACUAACCCGCGGCUACACCUUGUUAGCAGGUUCACAGCGCAGCGGGUGGGAGAGGCUGACCGAGGUCUCCGGUGAGCCCAGGGUGGGGCGGUCCGACUCCUGCACUGAAGUACGAAGCUUGCGAGAAGAACUAUGAAAGGAUAAUCAAGUAAGGUUCAGGCUGGCCUCAAAUUUGUGGUGAUCUUCCUGCUUCAGCCUCUUCAGCGCUGGAAUUACAGAUUGGGUGAAGAAGAUGUGAGGGCGCUUUGGAACAGCGGGCAUUCUCCAAGAAACAAAGAAAGGGAAGAGUGGCCUCAUGAUAGACUCGGGUGGCCAGACCAUGCCAAGACGUCUAGAGCUGGAGGAACACAAGACAGAGGCCAGUCCUCUCUGGAGCCCCGUCAGAAAGGUUGGAGUGCUGUGAACUACCAUCCUCGGGGUGUGGAUGGGGACUGGGGAGUCUCUUCUUGAGUGUACAGUGCUGAGCAGGAUGUCUUCCCUCUCCCCUUUGGUUUUGGUAAGUCCAGUUUCCCAUUUUCCUGGUGUGUGGGAGCCUUUGCACUAGUUCCUGAAUUCUCACAGAGGGAAUUUGUCCAUGAAUUGUUG